CCUACGGGCGGCAGCAGUGGGGAAUAUUGGACAAUGGGGGGAACCCUGAUCCAGCCAUGCCGCGUGUGUGAAGAAGGCCCUCGGGUUGUAAAGCACUUUCAGUGAGGAAGAACGCCUGGUGGUUAAUACCCAUCAGGAAAGACAUCACUCACAGAAGAAGCACCGGCUAACUCCGUGCCAGCAGCCGCGGUAAUACGGAGGGUGCGAGCGUUAAUCGGAAUUACUGGGCGUAAAGCGCGCGUAGGUGGCUUGAUAAGCCGGUUGUGAAAGCCCCGAGCUCAACCUGGGAACGGCAUCCGGAACUGUCAAGCUAGAGUGCAGGAGAGGAAGGUAGAAUUCCCGGUGUAGCGGUGAAAUGCGUAGAGAUCGGGAGGAAUACCAGUGGCGAAGGCGGCCUUCUGGACUGACACUGACACUGAGGUGCGAAAGCGUGGGUAGCAAACAGGAUUAGAUACCCCAGUAGUC
rnacentral:rRNA from 1 species